UGCAGGGGGUGGUUGCACACGGA
rnacentral:miRNA from 1 species